rnacentral:rRNA from 1 species
UACGUAGGGGGCAAGCGUUGUCCGGAUUUAUUGGGCGUAAAGAGCGUGUAGGCGGCUAGGUAGGUCCGUUGUGAAAACUCGAGGCUCAACCUCGAGACGUCGAUGGAAACCAUCUAGCUAGAGUCCGGAAGAGGAGAGUGGAAUUCCUGGUGUAGCGGUGAAAUGCGCAGAUAUCGGGAGGAACACCAAUGGCGAAGGCAGCUCGCUGGGACGUUACUGACGCUGAGACGCGAAAGCGUGGGGAGCAAACAGG